AGAUCCCAGAGAAAAGAGGGCGACAUGCCUUACAGGGCCAACAGGAAAAGGAGCCGUCUGAGACAUACAUGCUCAACCAGCAGCUGCUUUCUUGGGAUGCUGUACUUUUCCAGGAGAGGGAUUCAGAAAAAUGCAACCCAGAUUUACAGUUUUAAAAGCCGUGGUCCAGGGGAUUGCAGCCCUUGGCACGGUGCCGUCUGCACCUGAGCUCACCGGCCAUCCCUAUAUAGGAUCCGAACCUGAGGCCUAAGUGCUACUAGCGCCGCUACCAGCACCGCACUCUCCCGAGUGAGCCACGAGGCCGGCCCUUCAGUAUACAUUUUAGUUAUCUCAAAGUUUUA